rnacentral:rRNA from 1 species
UGGGGAAUAUUGGACAAUGGGCGAAAGCCUGAUCCAGCCAUGCCGCGUGUGUGAAGAAGGUCUUCGGAUUGUAAAGCACUUUAAGUUGGGAGGAAGGGCAUUAACCUAAUACGUUAGUGUUUUGACGUUACCGACAGAAUAAGCACCGGCUAACUCUGUGCCAGCAGCCGCGGUAAUACAGAGGGGGCAAGCGUUAAUCGGAAUUACUGGGCGUAAAGCGCGCGUAGGUGGUUUGUUAAGUUGGAUGUGAAAUCCCCGGGCUCAACCUGGGAACUGCAUUCAAAACUGACUGACUAGAGUAUGGUAGAUGGUGGUGGAAUUUCCUGUGUAGCGGUGAAAUGCGUAGAUAUAGGAAGGAACACCAGUGGCGAAGGCGACCACCUGGACUAAUACUGACACUGAGGUGCGAAAGCGUGGGGAGCAAACA